rnacentral:rRNA from 1 species
CCGCGGGAUUAGAGUUUGAUCCUGGCUCAGAGCGAACGCUGGCGGCGUGCUUAACACAUGCAAGUCGAACGCGCAGCAUUCUGUAGCAAUACAGGGUGUGGGCGCGUGGCGAACGGGUGCGUAACACGUGGAUAACCUUCCUUGAGGUGGGGAAUAACCCAGUGAAAAUUGGGCUAAUACCGCAUAACAUCGCGAUGGCACAUGCUGAUGCGAUCAAAGGCGCAAGUCGCCACAAGAGGGAUCCGCGGCCGAUUAGCUUGUUGGCGAGGUAAUGGCUCACCAAGGCAAUGAUCGGUAGCCGGACUGAGAGGUUGGCCGGCCACACUGGAACUGAGACACGGUCCAGACUCCUACGGGAGGCAGCAGUGGGGAAUCUUGCACAAUGGACGAAAGUCUGAUGCAGCAACGCCGCGUGGGGGAUGAAGCUUCUCGGAGUGUAAACCCCUUUCGACCCGGAAGAAUGCCCGCAAGGGUAUGACGGUACGGGUAUAAGAAGCCCCGGCUAACUACGUGCCAGCAGCCGCGGUAAUACGUAGGGGGCCAGCGUUGCUCGGAAUUACUGGGCGUAAAGGGUCCGUAGGCGGUGUAGCAAGUCGAUAGUGAAAUCUCUGGGCUUAACCCAGAGGCUGCUAACGAAACUGCUGUGCUAGAGUGUGAGAGAGGCGAGUGGAAUUACGGGUGUAGCGGUGAAAUGCGUAGAUAUCCGUAGGAACAUCCGAGGCGAAGGCGGCUCGCUGGAUCACAACUGACGCUGAGGGACGAAAGCUAGGGGAGCAAACAGGAUUAGAUACCCUGGUAGUCCUAGCCCUAAACCAUCAGGACUUGGGGUUUGCCCUGUACGGGGCAAGUCCCGUAGCUAACGCGUUAAGUCCUGCGCCUGG